rnacentral:rRNA from 1 species
UACGGAGGGAGCUAGCGUUGUUCGGAAUUACUGGGCGUAAAGCGCACGUAGGCGGCUACUCAAGUCGGGGGUGAAAGCCCGGGGCUCAACCCCGGAACUGCCCUCGAAACUAGGUAGCUAGAAUCUUGGAGAGGUCAGUGGAAUUCCGAGUGUAGAGGUGAAAUUCGUAGAUAUUCGGAAGAGCACCAGUGGCGAAGGCGACUGACUGGACAAGUAUUGACGCUGAGGUGCGAAAGCGUGGGGAGCAAACAGG